UAUUAUAUAUAUAUUUUGGGAAUUCAUUUUUUCUUCAUUGAAAGGGACACUAUAGUCACCCAGACCACUUCAGCUCAAUGAAGUGGUCUGGGUGCCAAGUCCCCCAGGUUUUAACCCUUCAGAUGUAAACUGCUAUGCUUACAUUGCAGGACUAAUCCAGCCUCUAGUGGCUGUCUUCCUGACAGCCAGCCGCUAGUGGCGCUUCUGCAAUGCUGGAUGCGAAAAUACUGGCUCGGAUCCGGCUCCGUUCCCCCCCUAUGGACCGGGGGGUGAUCCCGGUCCUUACACUGCAGACAUGACCUCGACUCUGCUAAUAAGGCCAAGGAGCCUAACCACUGCAUCCAAAACGGCGGCGCCAUGUGCGCGGACGG